CUACACUGCAGUCGAACGAGNANCUNCNGGUCUAGUGGCGCACGGGUGCGUAACGCGUGGGAAUCUGCCCUUUGGUUCGGAAUAACAGUUAGAAAUGACUGCUAAUACCGGAUGAUGACGAAAGUCCAAAGAUUUAUCGCCAGAGGAUGAGCCCGCGUAGGAUUAGCUAGUUGGUGGGGUAAAGGCCUACCAAGGCGACGAUCCUUAGCUGGUCUGAGAGGAUGAUCAGCCACACUGGGACUGAGACACGGCCCAGACUCCUACGGGAGGCAGCAGUGGGGAAUAUUGGACAAUGGGCGAAAGCCUGAUCCAGCAAUGCCGCGUGAGUGAUGAAGGCCUUAGGGUUGUAAAGCUCUUUUACCCGGGAUGAUAAUGACAGUACCGGGAGAAUAAGCCCCGGCUAACUCCGUGCCAGCAGCCGCGGUAAUACGGAGGGGGCUAGCGUUGUUCGGAAUUACUGGGCGUAAAGCGCACGUAGGCGGCUUUGUAAGUUAGAGGUGAAAGCCUGGAGCUCAACUCCAGAAUUGCCUUUGAUACUGCAAGGCUUGAAUCCNGGAGAGGUGAGUGGAAUUCCGAGUGUAGAGGUGAAAUUCGUAGAUAUUCGGAAGAACACCAGUGGCGAAGGCGGCUCACUGGAC
rnacentral:rRNA from 2 species